UACGUAGGUGGCAAGCGUUACUCGGAAUCACUAGGCGUAAAGCGCAGGUAGGCGGUUCGGUAAGUCUUUUGUGAAAGCUCCCGGCUCAACUGGGAGAGGUCAAAGGAAACUACCGGGCUAGAGUGUGGUAGGGGAAACUGGAAUUCCUGGUGUAGCGGUGAAAUGCGUGGAUAUCAGGAGGAACACCUAUGGCGAAAGCAGGUUUCUGGGCCAUCACUGACGCUGAGCUGCGAAAGCUAGGGGAGCAAACAGG
rnacentral:rRNA from 1 species